GUUAGCCCACGGGGGCGGGGCAAAAGUCGUUCUUCCGCUGUCAAGCCUGGUGGUUGCUAGGGGCGCUCCGAGCUGAAAGCGUGUGGUUUUCCACCUGGUGCCCCAGAGCUCUGGAUCCGUGAUUCAAACUGUUCACUGCUUUCUCUGUUAUUUAUGAAGAAUCAGCAGCCCUCAGACGCGUUCUGAAACAUCAGCUCUUCUUGGAUCUUGAGUCUGCCAACUUUCAGACUGGAACUUACACUGUCGACUCUCCUGAUUCUCAGGCCUUUGAACUCAGGUUGGAACUAAACAUCGGCUCUCCUAGGUUUCCAGAUUGUUGACAGCAGAUCUUAGGACUUCUAGCUUCUGUAAUCACAUAAUGAGGAUCUUCAAGAAUGUCUUCAGAUUUUCCAGGUUAAAUAGGCUCAAAGAAAUCCCACCUCUGCUCUUCCAGACAGAUCAGUCCCCUGGGGCUUAAUCAAGGCAGAGAAGCUGCCCGAGGGAGGCCAGACCUGUGGGAUACUGGCAUGGAAUGAGUGGGAACUAAGAAGCUAUGCUAAGAGUUCAUGUGAGAGGUGGUGAGGGAUUGAACUAAUGUAGAUGCAAAGGGGACAAAAAGGAGGGAGAGCUUGAAGCGACAUCUAUAACAUAGCUGGAGAUUGAGUUCAUUCACAUGGCCAAUCAAUCAUGCCUAUAUAAUGAAAUCCCAAGAAAAUUUCUGGACACUGAGACUUGGAGGAGUUCCUGGUUGGUGAACACAAGUGUGCUAAGAAGGUGACACAUCCUGACUCCACAGGCAGAAGGCAUGGAAUCUCCGUGUUCAAGAGUCUCCCAGACAUCACUCUGUGUGUCUCUUCUUUUGGCUGGCCCUGAUUUGUAUCCUUUAAAUGAAACUGUAAUUCUAACUGUAGUGCUUUCCUGAGUCAUUCAGUUCUGUGAGUCAUCCUUGUGGAUGAUUGAACCUGAGGGGAUCAUGGGAACCCCUGAAUUUUUGCCAGUUAGUCAGACAUGUGGGUGGCCUAGGGACCCUCAAAGAGUGUCUAGCAUCUGCAGUAAGGGCAGUCUUAACUGAGGACUGUGUCCUUAAACCUCUGGAGUCUUACACUAACUCCAGGGGAUUGGCAUCAAGAUUGUAUUCAAUUGGGGUUUGUGUUAGAAUAACAGGUAACAGAGACUCCUACUGAAACUGACUUUAAAAAGUAAAGGGAAUUUAUUGGUGCACAUUACCAAAAAGUCCACAAGUAUAUGGCUUUAGGCAUGGCUUGAUCCAGCAACCCAAAUAAUGUGACUAGGACCUGGGUUUUCUCUUCCAGUUUUUCUUGAGACUGGUUUCAUUCUCAGCAAACUCCCUUCCUGGUACAGGAUGGUUGCCAGUAGCUGAAGCUACUGAAGUUCCUGAAGCUAUGGACUUGUGAUUUUACAUCCAAUUAAGAGGGAGAGAUUCUUGUUCAUUCAAAUAGAUGUUCAAGAAUUGAAUAUAAUUGGCCUAAAUUGGAUCAUAUUCCAUCCUUGAGUGAAUUACUAUGACCAGAAAUAUUGCCAUAAGUCAAUUAGAACCAUCUAAAAUCAGAGGUAGGAUUUAUCUCACCUAAACCAUUUGGUCAUAAAUAAAGCAAAAUCUGAGUACUGCUGUUGGAAAAAAUGGGAAAAUGAAUAUUGCGGAAGUAAUAAAAAAAUGGAAGGUAUUCAGCUGAUAUUUAUUUAACCGACUCCUCAUUUUGAAAAUUAGCUGCAUUCUGGAAAGCAAUCCCAGUUCUCUAGUUCUUAAAUACUUUACUUAAGAGUUGUUCUGUCUGUACUCCAGGUGGCUUAAAUAUUCUAUGAGGGUCUCUUUGCAGCCUAAUGAUUUGCUGGUGCAAUUCUGAGAGAAAUACAGCUUGUCAGAUUAUGGUACAGCGCAUCUCCAGAGAUCAUUUAUGUGACAACUUAAUUAUUCAGAGAGAAAACCCUAAGAGAUGUCCACACUUAAAGAGCUGACAAAGAAGAUGACUCUGCAAAAGAACAUUUCUAUGCCCUCAGCUCUGAAAAACCACUUGAAACUACCAAAAUGACAUCAUGAAGUUUAUACACCAGAGUCCAUGGACUUUAUUUAUGGGGAACAUUCUUUGAUCCUCACUUAGAGCCAAUUUGCCAUGAUUCUAGAUGCAGUUCUAACAGGUUUGUUAUCUGAUGUAGUGAUCAUCUGUUGUUUUUGCAUGUUCACUAUCCUUUCUUACUUAGGCAAAUCACCCUGAUUUUCCUUUGGGAAAACUAGUUCUCUAACUUACAGUUUCAUGAUUUUGAUAGGACUGAUACUACCUACAAGGUCCAAGAAUGAGCACAUGACAAAGAUCUGGCCAGUCCCCUGGCCAUACCAUGAUUGAUUCUGAAGUUGGAAUGUUGUCCAAUCUGAGCUAUUGAGAGCCCUACCCGGAACUUUGCCUGCAAUUCUUAUGGGCUUGCUAGGUUAUAAAAGUGUAAGGCCAGGCUGACGUUGGGCUAUCAUGGGGGAGAAUCCAGCUGGUAAAUGAAACCAACAUAGAGAGGAAAGCAGAGGAGAGAUACAAAGACAGAGGCAGAGAAGGGAACCCAUUCUGAUGUUAUCAUUUGGACGCCUGGAACCAGCCAUGACUAAAACUCCUGGAUUUUUCAGUUACAGGAGGCAAUAAAAUACCUUUUUUGCUUAAGCCUCUUUGAGUCAGGUGUCUACACUUAACUAAUUCAUUUGUUUUUCUGAUCAAAUUAGAAGCAACAACAGAAGAGAGUUUUUGCUGUGAAUUAGCAACAGUUUCACUAAUUUUUUAAAAAGUGUUAUGAAUUCUGAAUACUUAAUGAAAUAAAAUCCAAUAUUUUGGUACUUGGUGCUGACACCAAAGGAAAGCAAAAUCUCUCUCUCUCUCUCUCUCUAAUUUAAGACAAAGAAAGAAAUCAAUUUGCGAUCCAAAUCGUGACAUCCUAUUUUACAGAACAGGACAAUGUUUGAUAGUCCUGAUGUGACAUUGCCUAUUUUUAUAACUUUCCUCAGUGUCUUUCGCACUUAAAACCAUCUUUGGUUCCUCUUUUAGUGAGUACUUACAAUUCUAGAGCAAAUUUAUAUUAUUAAUGUUUUUCUGUUUUAAUUUCCUACAAAGCCAAAAUACUGGAUAUUUUUUACAUGUUUAGAAUUUAUGAAGUUAAAAAAAUUAAUGUGACUAAAUGUUAUUGACACAUUUAAAAUUUAAAAAUUAUAAACACAUUAGAAAUACCCUUCUGGCCACUACAGGCUCUGCUGCUUUCUGCAACUUGUCCGCUCCUCCACCCAUACCCAACACACCCACACACGUACAUCAGCUCUGAUGGACCUACUCUGGAAGAGCUUCCAGGCUUUCCUGCCCGGUUUAGCAACCAAUAGAGGUUUCAGGACUAUUGCCUCUGACUGAAAAUGACUUCUCUCCUGUGAGCCCAAAAGAGAUGGUCCUAACUGGGUCUCACUCUUCUCCAUCCCCUGCAGGGAGAUUUCCUACUUCAAAGGCUCCUCCUGUCUACUCUUUGCUCAGCAUUUUUGCUGAGAGAGUGUAGUGGAGAAUGAAGAAGUUUGGAAGAGUUACUGGAACUGGGUGGUAAAGAGGGGAUGGAAGGGCUUGGGAUAGUGAGGAGGAGGAGAUUAGAGCAGGAGAAGGAAGGACAGUUUGAAGGGGAGCUAAGAAGAGUAAAGAAACCUGCCAACCAAUGUCUAAAAUAAUAGUACGACACUGACAAAAAUACCUGAAUUUCGGUUCUUAAAAAUAGCACAGCAUACACUUGUAUAUAGAAAACGGUAAUGCAGUCAUGACUCCCUCUACCUUGACCUUCAGUCAGAGUAGCCUCUAAAUCUCGUUAAUUUAAUUUCAGAGACAUGCCAUUCCACCUAGAGAUUCAACUUCCUGAAAUAUUCUUGGCACAAAACUUGGAAGGCUCUUGUUCUGUUUUAAGAAAGAAAGCCAUGUACUUACAUCACUUAUACACACUGCUGCCAGACUAAUAUUCCUGAAGCACAGUUCUAUCAGGUAGUCAUUAACAUUUAUUGAAUAUUUGCUAUCUGCCAGACACUAGGCUCUCUCUCUAUUAUCUUAUUUAAUCUUCAUAACAGCUCUUUGUAGUAAGUACCAUCAUUAACCCAAUUUUCUUUUUUUAAAUUCAGGGGGUGGGAGAAAUUAGGUUUGUUUGUUUGUUUUAAUGGCGGUACUGGGGAUUGAACCCAGGACCUCGUGCAUACUAAGCACACACUCUACCACUGGGCUAUAUCCUCCCUCCAACCCAAUUCUGUAGAUAAGAAAAUAGAAGUUCAGGAUUAAGUCUCUUGUAAAGAAAACAUAGCUACUAAAUGGCAGAACUAGGUCUGGAACUAGGUCUGGAUCUUCCUGACUGUACUUGAGUCCUUAACCACUAUGCUUUAUCACCUCUUCUGCUCAAAAUCUGACGGAGUAAUCAAUAAAGUCUUACUAAAGUGCUUAUCACUUAAGGCCCUUAGCCCCAACUGCCAUUCCAAUUUUAUUUGCCAUUAUGCCCCUUCAUACAUCUGAUUUUCAGAGCAAAUAGAAGUGUUUGCUGAUUACCAACAUCCCUCAGCAGUUCACACUUCUAUGCCAUUGUUCAUGUAAGGAUCUUUAUUCUGUGUCACUUUUUUCCAGAAAAAAAAUAGAAAUCUUUUAAAUCAUUGUUUCACACAAUAAUUGUCAUAGUUUUUAUUUUUCAUUAUAAUAACAGCCAUUGAUUAUUUACAUAUAUACAAAUAUAUACACACAUAUAUUUUUCUUCCCUUGAACUUUUUUUUUCUGAAAUAUGUAUGAAAAUUAAGUGGUUUUUAAAUGUUUUAGGCCUUUGCAAAUUAUUUAUACAUCCAAAUGCAACAGAAUUAGGAUUCCAGGUAGUAGAAGUCAUUUUACCAAAAGUCCAAGAAGUCUUUAGGAUCUCCCAAGAUAAUCUAAAAUAAACAAAGAAACAAAAAUUUAUUAGGACAGAAAUUUGGCAAGUAGUCAGCCUCCUUGUGUAGGGUGUCUCUGCUCCUAACAGGCACAUUUUUUUGAAAAACGAAAUAUCUGUGUGGAAUAAUUUCAUGGAUUAAAAAAAGUGCUCGAGAGAGUGAUAUUAACUUGAAUGUACAGUUGUUUUAGCUAGAACACAGCUUCAGCUUUUUAAAAAGCAGUAGCUCUCAAGAAAACAUAAAGAGAAGGGAACAUUUUCCAACUCAUUUUAGAAGGCUACCUACCUGGAUAACAAAACCAAACAAAGAAAGUCCAAAAAAGAAAACUACAGACCAAUAGCCCUCAUGGAUAUAGAUGCAAAAAAUUCUUAACAGAUACUAGAAAAUUGAAUUUGACAAUAUAUAAUAUAUACAUAUAUAUUAGGGAAUAUAUUUAAAGAAUAACACAGCAUGACCAAAAAUUCAAGACUGGUUCAAUAGUCAAAAAUCAGUCAAUAGACCCACAAAAAUACAGUCAUUUGAUCUUUGACAAAGAAGCAAAAGGGAAUUCAAUGGAGAAAAGAUAGGUUAUUCAACAAAUGGUGCUGAAACAACUGGACAUCCACAUGCUAAAGACGUGAAUCUAGACACAGACUUUACACUCUGCACAAAAGUGAACUCAAAAUUGAUCAUAGACCUAAAUGUAAAAUGCAAAACUACAAGAUUCUUAGAAGAUAACAUGGGAGAAAAUCCAGAUGACCUUGUGUUUGGUGAUGACUUUUUAAAAUACAGCACCAAAGGCAUGACUUAUGAAAGAAAAAAUUUAUGUCAGACUUCAUUACAAUUAAAAA